CAGCAGCCGCGGGAAUACGUAGGGUGCAAGCGUUAAUCGGAAUUACUGGGCGUAAAGCGUGCGUAGGCGGUUUGUUAAGUCUGUUGUGAAAUCCCCGGGCUCAACCUGGGAAUGGCAAUGGAUACUGGCAAGCUAGAGUGUGUCGGAGGAUGGUGGAAUUCCCGGUGUAGCGGUGAAAUGCGUAGAGAUCGGGAGGAACAUCAGUGGCGAAGGCGGCCAUCUGGGACAACACUGACGCUGAGGCACGAAAGCGUGGGGAGCAAACAGGAUUAGAUACCCCCGUAGUCCCUGUCUCUUAUAC
rnacentral:rRNA from 1 species